rnacentral:rRNA from 1 species
AGUUCGGAGAGUUUGAUCUUGGCUCAGGACGAACGCUGACGGUGUGCUUUAGACAUGCAAGUCGAACGAGAAAGCCCUUCGGGGUGAGUACAGUGGCGAACGGGUGAGUAACACGUGGGUAACCUACCCCUCGCAGGGGGAUAACCGGGGGAAACCCCGGCUAAUACCCCGUACGCUUGCCGGGCCGCAUGGUCCGGUAAGGAAAGGUAGCUUCGGCCAUCCGGCGAGGGAUGGGCCCGCGGUGCAUUAGCUAGUUGGUGGGGUAACGGCCCACCAAGGCUACGAUGCAUAGCUGGUCUGAGAGGAUGAUCAGCCACACUGGGACUGAGACACGGCCCAGACUCCUACGGGAGGCAGCAGUCGGGAAUCUUGCGCAAUGGGCGAAAGCCUGACGCAGCAACACCGUGUGAGCGACGAAGGCCUUCGGGUCGUAAAGCUCUGUUGUUGGGGACGAAGGGCGAAGGGUUAAUAGCCCCUAGCUUGACGGUACCCUUCGAGGAAGCCCCGGCUAACUACGUGCCAGCAGCCGCGGUAAUACGUAGGGGGCGAGCGUUGUCCGGAAUUAUUGGGCGUAAAGAGCGUGUAGGCGGUUCGGUAAGUCUGCCGUGAAAACCUGGGGCUCAACCCUGGGCGUGCGGUGGAUACUGCCGGGCUAGAGGAUGGUAGAGGCGAGCGGAAUUCCCGGUGUAGCGGUGAAAUGCGCAGAUAUCGGGAGGAACACCAGUAGCGAAGGCGGCUCGCUGGGCCAUUCCUGACGCUGAGACGCGAAAGCUAGGGGAGCGAACAG